rnacentral:rRNA from 1 species
UCUGCCUGGUAGUGGGGGAUAACGUUCGGAAACGGACGCUAAUACCGCAUACGUCCUACGGGAGAAAGCAGGGGACCUUCGGGCCUUGCGCUAUCAGAUGAGCCUAGGUCGGAUUAGCUAGUUGGUGGGGUAAUGGCUCACCAAGGCGACGAUCCGUAACUGGUCUGAGAGGAUGAUCAGUCACACUGGAACUGAGACACGGUCCAGACUCCUACGGGAGGCAGCAGUGGGGAAUAUUGGACAAUGGGCGAAAGCCUGAUCCAGCCAUGCCGCGUGUGUGAAGAAGGUCUUCGGAUUGUAAAGCACUUUAAGUUGGGAGGAAGGGUUGUAGAUUAAUACUCUGCAAUUUUGACGUUACCGACAGAAUAAGCACCGGCUAACUCUGUGCCAGCAGCCGCGGUAAUACAGAGGGUGCAAGCGUUAAUCGGAAUUACUGGGCGUAAAGCGCGCGUAGGUGGUUUGUUAAGUUGGAUGUGAAAUCCCCGGGCUCAACCUGGGAACUGCAUUCAAAACUGACUGACUAGAGUAUGGUAGAGGGUGGUGGAAUUUCCUGUGUAGCGGUGAAAUGCGUAGAUAUAGGAAGGAACACCAGUGGCGAAGGCGACCACCUGGACUAAUACUGACACUGAGGUGCGAAAGCGUGGGGAGCAAACAGGAUUAGAUACCCUGGUAGUCCACGCCGUAAACGAUGUCAACUAGCCGUUGGAAGCCUUGAGCUUUU